rnacentral:tRNA from 1 species
GGGGUUGUAGCUCGGUGGUAGAGCACUUUCCUCCGUCGUGUGAAGCCCUGGGUUCAAUUCUCAGCACCACA